rnacentral:rRNA from 1 species
UACGUAGGGGGCAAGCGUUGUCUGGAAUCAUUGGGCGUAAAGCGCGUGUAGGCGGCCAGGUAAGUCCGUUCUGAAAGCCCGGGGCUCAACCCCGGGAGGCGGAUGGAUACUGCUUGGCUCGAGUCCGGAAGAGGCGAGUGGAAUUCCCGGUGUAGCGGUGAAAUGCGCAGAUAUCGGGAGGAACACCAAUGGCGAAGGCAGCUCGCUGGGACGGUACUGACGCUGAGACGCGAAAGCGUGGGGAGCAAACAGG